CAACAUGGCGGCCAGCUGCCACUUCUUUGCGGCUGCUUUGCUCUUCAGCGGGGUUUUAAGUUUUCCUGUCGGCCCAGAGGAAAGAGGCGCCACCGCCUGCGGAUACCAGUCAUGUCAGGCCACCAAGCCCACCAUGCUGAAUGUUCACCUGGUUCCUCACACACACGACGACGUGGGCUGGCUAAAGACCGUGGACCAGUACUUCUAUGGAGAUCGUAACGACAUCCAACACGCCGGCGUUCAGUACAUCCUGGACUCGGUGGUGGAUCAGCUGCUGAAGAACCCAGACAGACGGUUCAUCUACGUGGAGACGGGCUUCUUCUACCGCUGGUGGAAGCAGCAGAGCUCCAGCAUGCAGCAGACGGUCAAGCAGCUGGUUAACCAAGGUCGGCUGGAGUUUGUAAAUGGCGGCUGGUGUAUGAGCGACGAGGCCACGACGCACUACAGCGCCGUCAUCGACCAGAUGACCAUCGGCCUGAGGUUUCUGAACGAGACCUUUGGGAUCUGCGGUCGCCCCCGGGUCGCCUGGCACAUUGACCCCUUUGGCCACGCCCGCGAACACGCCUCUCUUUUUGCACAGAUGGGAUACGACGGCUUCUUCUUCGGUCGCCUGGACUACCAGGACCGGACUCGCAGGAUGAAGGCGAAGGAGCAGGAGCUCCUCUGGAGAGCCUCAGACAGCCUCCCACCACCCAUGGCUGACCUCUUCACCGGAAUCCUUCCCAACGGGUACAACCCUCCAGAAGGGUUCUGCUGGGACCAGCUGUGCGCCGACGCACCAAUCAGAGACGACCCCGACCUUGAGGAUUAUAACGUUGACGAUGUUGUCCAGCGUUUCCUUCGCGCCGCCAAGAGUCAGGCGUUAGUGUACAAGACCAACCACAUCAUUAUGACCAUGGGCUCAGACUUCCAGUACGAGAACGCCAACCUGUGGUACAAGAACCUGGACAAGCUGAUCCGCUACGUCAACGACCAGCAGGGCAACGGCAGCAACGUCAACGUCCUCUAUUCCACUCCAUCCUGCUACCUGCAGGAGCUUCACAAAGCUAACCUCACCUGGCCUCUGAAGACGGACGAUUUCUUUCCCUACGCGGACAACGCUCAUAACUUCUGGACGGGAUACUUCACAAGCCGACCGGCACUGAAACGCUACGAGAGGAUCAGCAACAGCAACCUGCAGUCUUGUAAUCAGCUGGAGGUUCUGGGCGGUCCCGUUUCCAGGAAUGGGCUGUUUGGACAGGGUGACAGCAAGACUUUGAGGAAAGCAAUGGCUGUGGCUCAGCACCAUGACGCAGUGUCAGGAACAGAGAAACAACAUGUUGCCAAUGACUACGCCAAGAUGCUAGCCAAAGGCUGGCAACACUGCCAGGUUUUGGUCAGCAACAGUUUGGCUUCCCUCACUGGCUCCUCCGCUGAAAGAAUCUACUGUGAUAACCUCAACGUCAGUGUGUGUCCUCUAACCGAGUCCAGCAGCAAGUUCUCGCUCAGUGUGUACAACCCUCUGGGUCGGUCCGUCACCUGGCCCGUCAGGCUGCCGGUCAACGGGACGGUGUACGCCGUCACUGACGCUCAAGGAAAACCCGUGGACUGUCAGGUGCUUCCUGUGUCCAGAGCCACACAGGAAGUGAGGAGGAGCCGCAGCUUCGCCAAGAACGAGCUGGUGUUCCAGGUCCGAGCUCCUCCUCUGGGUUACAGCAGCUACUCUGUGUCCCUGCUGCAGGACGGGCCGCCAUCGUCCUCGCCUCAACACCAGGCUCCCACCAGCAUCCAAAACAAGUUCCUUCAAGUGACCUUUGACCCUGACACUGGCCUUUUGUCCGGUCUCAGCAACCUGGAAACCAAACAGACCAUAAAGCUUUCACAAAACUUCUACUGGUACAAUGCCAGUGACGGCAACAACGACGAGAGUCGGCAGACCUCUGGAGCCUACAUCUUCAGACCCAACUCCUCCACACCUGUCAUGGUCAGCAGUAAGGCCAGAGUGGAGGUCUUUCAGAACUCGGUGGUGCAGGAGGUGCGGCAGCGGUUCGCUCCCUGGGUGUCUCAGGUGGUCCGACUCUACGCCGACAGCAAAGCCGUGGAGCUGGAGUGGACGGUCGGACCGGUGCCGGUCAAUGAUGACCAGGGGAAGGAAGUGAUCACUCGUCUGGACACCAGCAUUAAAACCGCAGAGUUUUUCUACACCGACUCAAACGGCAGAGAAGUUCUCCAGAGAAAGAAAGACUUCCGUCCCACAUGGCAGCUCAAGCAAACGGAACCCAUUGCUGGGAAUUAUUACCCCAUCAACUCUCGCGCCUUUAUAAAGGAUGGCACGGACCAACUCACAGUAGUGACAGAUCGCUCUCAGGGAGGAGCGAGUAUUUACAACGGAUCUCUGGAGAUCAUGCUUCACCGCCGGCUGCUGCAUGACGACUACCGCGGCGUCGGUGAAGCCCUCGAUGAGAGUUCGGAGCUCUUCCCCGACGGCCUGGUGGUCCGCGGUCGCCUCCUCCUCUCCCUGGAGCCGCCUGCCACCGCCGCAGACACACACCGCCCCCUGGCACAGGAAGUGGUAUCACAACCCCUGCUGUCGUUCACCAAUGGAGACCUGAACCCGAACGCACGACUGGAGUUUUCAGGCCUUCAAGCAUCGCUGCCCCCUGCUGUCCACCUCCUGACACUGAGUCAGUGGGACGAGGAGUCCGUCCUGCUCAGGCUGGAGCAUCAGUUCCAGAGCUGGGAGAGCAAAGCCAGCUCCCAACCCGUCACAGUCAACCUUCAGAAGCUGUUUUCCACUCUGAAUGUUCUGGGUGUUUCUGAGCUGAACCUUUCAGCCAAUCAGUGGAAAGAUGAGAUGAAGCGUUUUGAUUGGUCUCCUGAAAAAGAAGAGAAACCCCUGCUGAAGACGUUUGAGGAUCCGUCUGUGUGGGAAAUCACCCUGAGGCCCAUGGAGAUCAGAACAUUUUUACUCAGGGUCACAUUUCAAUAACCCAUCAUGUCCAUCCAAUAGGUGGAAAGGUGUUCCAAACUGAGGAUUCCGCAAAUAUCACUUAAAUCUGCAGUGAAAGGGAUUUGAAAAUAAUUUUCAUUUAUGCCUGUCUUUUUAUUGUUUCCACUAGUGACAGGCAUUAAAUCACACAACUUUCAAAUUUUAGCUGAAGACACCUUCAGACGCUGCUGUAACCGUCUUCUUUUCAGAAAAGCAAUCACCCAAAUAUCAGCUGAUUUAAAGACAACAAACACUGCAGGAGUGAAAUAAAGUUUAAAAAAAAGUUAGAAUGUCGAAUAAUUGCAGUCAUUUUAAAAGUUAGAGCCGUCAGUCAGGUUGAAUGACGAGCUUUAGGUUUGGACCAGAAGUUUCCAGGCAGAAGGUUUGUUUGACUGUAACAUACAGCAGGAGCCACACAACAUGAAUAAAACCUGAAACAAUUUAUUAUAACUGAAACUGCUGCUGAACAGCCCCCAACACUUCCUAUCAUAUUCCAAAAUAUCAGCAAUAUUUUAUACGAUUCCCACUGCUGAAAGCUUUUUCCGUUUGCAUUCACUUAGUAUUACCAAAUUGUCUUCACAGUACUUUUUUAAAUCCACCCAUGAUAUUCCUCAGUAUUAUGCUGUUCCUGUUACCGCCCUCUUGUGGUAGCAACAAAACAUUGCCACUAGACUAUUAAGAAUAAAAUGAACCUUUUAAGAAAUUUGAAUCUUUCCAACUUGGAGCAGUGACUGUAUUUCUGCUGUAAAGCGCUUUAAUCCUCUGAUUUGUCUUCACUGAAUUAUGCUGCGCUAUGAACAGACUGUUUAAAACCCACUUUUUUGAUUUUUUUUGGCAAAUAUUUAAAUGGGUACUAUGUUCAUCUAAAUCAGCUGAAGUUUAAGCUGCAGACAUGAGAGUUCAGAGGGCAAAACAUUGUGAUUGUCUGUAGGUUCCAUCUGUGGCUCAAAAACUAAAUUCAUUAAUGGUUUGGACUAAAACUGGAGCUGUGAUGAGGAAUAUUUUGGGUAAAAGGACAAUCUAUACCUGGAUUCAAGCAAAAAUCUAUUUUUUUAAAUGACUUAUUCUUGAGGUAUAUAAAGAAUAAUGAAGGUAGUUUUUUUUCAGGAAUUAUGCAUAACUGGAUAAAAAUCUUAAUUUUGUCUCCACUGUGAAAUUUCUGAACCAUCUGCACAUUUAUAAACAAUUUGAAGAUGUAGAUACAGGAUUAUUUCCAUGUCUGUAGAAACAACUGAUUGUUUUUGUUACCAACUGGUGCCAAAAUAUACUGACCAACAUGUGCAAUAUUUUGUUUUACUCAUGUAUGUACAUACAUGUUUUUACAGCUGAACAAGCAUCUUAUAAUAAAAUUCUGGUCAUUU